rnacentral:rRNA from 1 species
GAAACUAACAAGGAUUCCCCCAGUAACGGCGAGCGAAGCGGGAAGAGCUCGAGCCUGUAAUCUCUGGCAGCUGCUGCCAGCGAGUUGUGGCCGGUAGAAGGCCACUUUGCCCCGCGUUUGCGGCGUCGAGGUUGACCUGGAAGGGCACGUCGUAGAGGGUGAGAGCCCCGUGCGCGGCCUCGCAGACCUGGGCAACGGUGGCCUUCGGAGAGUCGGGUUGUUUGGGAAUGCAGCCCAAAUGUGGUGGUAAACUCCACCUAAAGCUAAAUAUUGGCACGAGACCGAUAGCGAACAAGUACCAUGAGGGAAAGGUGAAAAGCACUUUGAAAAGAGAGUCAAAGAGACCGCGAAACCGUUGGGAGGGAAACGAAUGUGGCCAUGAAGACUCCCUUCAGGUUCAAGGRGCCUCGGUUUGGGCGUUUGCGCGGUUGGGGACCCGAGGUCGGGCCUCGCCGGCGCAAGUCCUUCCGGGCUUCUGCAAUCCCGUCUGGAGUCCGCCAACGGCGGUCGUUCGCGGUCGAUGAGGGUCGUGGGGGCAGGUGCCUCUUCGUCGACUCCUCGUGGGUCUGGGGGAGGAGAACUUACAGCCCUCGGCUCGGCGGACCGGGGACGGCCGAGGAGCGUUGCGACCAGUCGCACGGCGUAGCGCAGGCUCCGCAGGGGCCGGGUCGCUUCUGGACUUGCGUGCCUCGCGGCGAGCCACUGCCCGCAGUGACAGCCGACGGUAGGUGCGCUUGUGCGGGAGACGGACCACGAUUUGCGCUUCGGUCGUUGGUGUGCGUAUGGUC